GUUCUGAGAAACUUAUAAAUGUGUAGUUUUGUGUUUUACUAUAUUGGUAUCUGAAUUCAAAGAAAAAAUAUAAAAUUUUUUUGAAAAAAUUGAAUCUUCAAUCAUCGUUUACUGAAUCAAUAAUAGCUACACUACUACCAACGUCAAAUUUGGUGUAUUAUAUUAUUGUAGUCAAUCAGUCUAAACCAAUUCCAUCAAUACAUUGUCGAAUGUUGUGGCAUUCAAUUUUCAGUAAAUUUAUAGGUGUUUUAUUUUAAGAUACUGUGGCACACUAAUGCAGAUAACGGUUUUCCAUUAGGUCAGUAAGAAGAAUAAGAUGGAUUCACAAGUUCAAAUCAAAUAUUAGACAACUAUAUAUAUUUAGUUAUUCAGCUAAAAAUGUAAUUCAAUAAAAUAAUUUAAAAGUACUUUAUCAUGUUAAAAGUGACAUAAAGUUUUUAAACUCUAAGUAUUUAAACACACGUAUACUUAACAUAUCUAUAAUUAUAAUACAUUAUUUAUUAAUUAUUAAUGAUGAAUUCUUUAUUUAAUAUUAAUUUAAUCUAA